rnacentral:rRNA from 1 species
AACGCGAAGAACCUUACCAACUCUUGACAUCCCAGUGACCGUUCUAGAGAUAGAACUUUCCCUUCGGGGACAAUGGUGACAGGUGGUGCAUGGUUGUCGUCAGCUCGUGUCGUGAGAUGUUGGGUUAAGUCCCGCAACGAGCGCAACCCUUGUCCUUAGUUGCCAGCACGUAAAGGUGGGGACUUUAAGGAGACUGCCGGUGAUAAACCGGAGGAAGGUGGGGAUGACGUCAAAUCAUCAUGCCCCUUAUGAGUUGGGCUACACACGUACUACAAUGGCUGGUACAAAGAGAAGCGAACCUGCGAGGGUAAGCGGACCUCAUAAAGCCAGUCUAAGUUCGGAUCGCAGUCUGCAACUCGACUGCGUGAAGUCGGAUUCGCUAGUAAUCGCAGAUCAGAAUGCUGCGGUGAAUGCGUUCCCGGGUCUUGUACACACCG